rnacentral:tRNA from 1 species
AAGAGUUAAUGAUAAAAAAUAGCUGCUAACUAAUUUUUUAAGCGGUUUAAAUCCGUUAAACUCUUA